UCAGGUGUGCUGGAAGAUGGACUGUCCUCCAAUGGUGUACCCCAAUCUACAGCCCCAGGUGGAAUAUCCAACCCAGAGAAGAAGAUGAGCUCUGGGACCCAGUGCCCAAAUCCCCAGAGCCUCAGCUCAGGCCCUCUGACGCAGAAACAGAAUGGCCUUCGGACUGCAGAGGCUAAAAGAGAUGCUAAGCGAAUGUCUGCAAAAGAGGUCACCAUUAACGUUACAGACAGCAUCCGACAGAUGGACAGAAGUCGAAGAAUCACAAAGAACUUCAUCAACUAGUGGAGUGUUCAAAUAGAAAGGCUUCUUUGGAGCCCUUCGUGGUACUGGAACCUUGAAGUGGGCACCCCAUGCUGAAUGUGAACACUGCCGAGUGCCUUGAGAGACAGUCUUACCCAGCAGCAAACAGCUCCCGGAGCUGUUGGGACCUUCUCAGCCUCCCACUUACCACGCAGGUGUAUUGGUGCAGUG